GGAAGGAGAACGGGAGGCAGCUGAGGCCUCUUCAGAUUCGAACAGAAAAGGGAAAAGAAGGGGGGAGAAGGGAGGAGGAAAGCAAAGCCUGGCACUGAAUUCUACCGCCGCCGGCACCGGCGCUGUGGUCGCUGCCCGUGCACACGCAGCGCUCCCGGCAGAGAGCGCGGCGCCGCCGCCGCCAUCGCGCCGCUCCUCCCCGGGGCGGAGCGCGGCCCCGGCGCGAUGGAGGCGCUGCGGCGGCCGGCGCUGCCCGAGGACGCGCUGCGCUCCCGCCUGUUGGCGGCGGCGGGCCCGGGCGGCGAGGCGCUGCUGCGGCGCUGCGCUGAGCUGGCCCUGGUGCGCUUCGCCCCGCUCCUGGCCGCCUGCGUGUGGCAGCGGCAGCCGCUCCGCCUGCGCUCCGUGCCGCGCCGCGGGGAGCCGGGAACGGGCCGGGAGGCACGGCGGGAGGAGCGCCCGGAGCGGGGCACGGUGAGGGGAGCCGGCGGCCGGGAACCAGGAGCGUGUGAGGGGGAUCCGGCGGCCAGGAACCGGGGGCGACACCCCGGCGCACUUGGGCGGCACCACGGUGUUCGGGGAUAACGUGGAGGAUGAGUGGUUCAUCGUGUAUCUGCUCCGGGAGAUCAGCAGGGAGUUCCCGGGGCUGGCAGCCAGUAAAAAAACUCCACCAGACACGGAUUCAGAAGUGUGCUGUUGUGCUCUGCAAGGCUUUUCCUGCUAAGAAACCAAUUUCUCCUUGGCCAGCAUUGAUGACAACGCUGGAGAGUUUCUCUUGAUAGAAGCAGCUGAUUUUCUCCCCAAGUGGCUGAAUCCUGGGAACAGUGAAAACAGGGUGAGUAAAACUUGUGUACACUUGGCAAGGGGGCCACAGUGGGCUUUCAUGUAGCAGCUGGAGUUUUCUCUUGCACCUCUAGGCAAGGUGUCUGACUGCCUCUGAAAACCCAGAGUGCUGCCUGUCCCUUGCUGUUGCUCCCUUCAGGAGCACUCCUGUAUCCACCCGAACUUUCAAGCUCGGCUAGAACCACUUGGAUUUUUGUUUGUUACCAUAUUGUGGAGUGUUUAGGGCAGAGGAUUUGCUGCCCUCAAAGCAGGGAAUGCUCAGGGCUGGAGUGUGUCUGUCUCUGUAAGGACACAGGCUUUGUCUGGUACAGGUGAAAUAAUGAGCAGACACCUUCACCUGGAUAUGGAUGGCUCCUAAUGACAGUGGAAUAAAAUGGAAAUAAUUAAUUUGGUCAUUAGCAAAAAACCUGUUUAAUUAUUUUUCUCCUACUCCGAGAUUCUUCAAAGGGCUGGAACACAACACCAGAGUCGAUUGCAAGUGUGUACCUGGAGUGUCAGGCUCGUAUUUCCCUUUAGUUUGAGGGAGCAGACAGAGUGAGGGAGUUGAGAACAUUGCACUCAGGGCUUUUCUUAGCAUCAGGAACCAGCAGAGGUCGCAUGUGGCACCUGAAAUAAUGCUUGUUAAUCCCGGGAUGCUCUGAAGCAGUUGGGUUAUGCUGGUU